GUGAGGAAUAUUGGUCAAUGGGCGAGAGCCUGAACCAGCCAAGUCGCGUGAAGGAAGAAGGAUCUAUGGUUCGUAAACUUCUUUUGCAGGGGAAUAAAGUGCAGGACGUGUUCUGUUUUGUAUGUACCCUGAGAAUAAGGAUCGGCUAACUCCGUGCCAGCAGCCGCGGUAAUACGGAGGAUCCGAGCGUUAUCCGGAUUUAUUGGGUUUAAAGGGUGCGUAGGUGGUUUGAUAAGUCAGCGGUGAAAGUUUGCAGCUUAACUGUAAAAAUGCCGUUGAAACUGUCGGACUUGAGUGUAAAUGAGGUAGGCGGAAUGCGUGGUGUAGCGGUGAAAUGCAUAGAUAUCACGCAGAACUCCGAUUGCGAAGGCAGCUUACUAAGCUACAACUGACACUGAAGCACGAAAGCGUGGGGAUCAAACAGGAUUAGAUACCCGGGUAGUCC
rnacentral:rRNA from 1 species